UACGGGAGGCAGCAGUGGGGAAUAUUGCACAAUGGGCGCAAGCCUGAUGCAGCCAUGCCGCGUGUAUGAAGAAGGCCUUCGGGUUGUAAAGUACUUUCAGCGGGGAGGAAGGGAGUAAAGUUAAUACCUUUGCUCAUUGACGUUACCCGCAGAAGAAGCACCGGCUAACUCCGUGCCAGCAGCCGCGGUAAUACGGAGGGUGCAAGCGUUAAUCGGAAUUACUGGGCGUAAAGCGCACGCAGGCGGUUUGUUAAGUCAGAUGUGAAAUCCCCGGGCUCAACCUGGGAACUGCAUCUGAUACUGGCAAGCUUGAGUCUCGUAGAGGGGGUAGAAUUCCAGGUGUAGCGGUGAAAUGCGUAGAGAUCUGGAGGAAUACCGGUGGCGAAGGCGGCCCCUGGGACGAAGACUGACGCUCAGGGUGCGAAAGCGUGGGGAGCAAACAGGGAUUAGAUA
rnacentral:rRNA from 1 species